GGACAAAAUGAAUUCCUUUUUUUGCAUUGAGAUUUUACAUUUUUUUAAAUUCUUUAUUUUUCACAAAAAGAAGUGCAUAUAUGUGACAAUGUAUAGGCUUACGCAGAAGCCACAGUACGUUUUCAGAUGAUUCAGGUAUACAGAAGGGAAGAGUGAUACGUUAAGACAAGUUGCAUGCUUACGAACACCUCUGAUCUUUUCAGCGGUCUAUCUGUCGUCCUGAGGUUCGCUGAGACUGUAUAUCUUGGUUUGUUUAUUAGGGCUUGCUGUGGGUUCAUGUGUCACUUCAAU